AGGAUCUGUAUCCUUCCUCAAGGCAGGGAAAUAGCCACUCUGGCUCUAGAAAGAGCAGGAAAAGCACAGAUAACUUGUUAAGAUUUUGGAGGCCAUUUUAUAAAUCAAAUCAUGAAAAGCAUAGAUUGCUGUCAAAUCUUCCUGUCAUGAUCCGUGGAUGAACAAAAGAACCACUCGUUCGUUGAUAUUCCACUUGUGUGCACCAGGUGGCAGUGCUAUCACCAGUUUGUACAUAUUUUCCAUUGAACUGUGCAUACUCCAUCAGAUUAGCUCAUCCUGGGUGCUUGAGCCCACUCAUCAGCAAAUAUAAUGUCCUCUAUAUUGCACUAAUAUAUUGUCCUUCUGUUUUGUCUUUUGGGCACUUAUUGUGGAUGGCACUUGUUUGUUUACGGCCUUUGUGAAGGAGGAGGUUGGUUACUAGCUGUGGCUCAUCCAUUCGCUGUCUGGUGUUCUGGAACUUUUGCAAUUACUGUUUAUAGUUAUUCAUUUCAUGUGUGCGACACUUUAAUGCCAGGAGAAGCCAAGAAGCCCUCAGGCUCCCCUGCUCCUGCAACUCCAAUCACUGUCCCAGGAAUGCUCAUGGAAUAACUUGGUUUACUUCUGUUCUUCAGCACAGUGUGUUGCAGGCCUCUCUUCAAACACUUGUCACAGCCCUAUGUCCCUGCUACGUAAUAAUACACAGAAAGGAAUUCAGGAGACAUUGGAGCAACUAAAGAAACAGCAGCACUCCCCAAUAUUGGGAAUUAGCUCCCCACAGAUGGACAGUGGUCAUCAGCCAUUCCUGUCUUCCUUCCUCCAUUGCAGAAAAGAAUUAAAAACCAACCAACCAGCAAAGGCUCAUUCAACAGGCUCCUUGUGGAUAAAAUAUCCUGUCUUUUGAGAGACACUGUUUUACUAGUUUGCUCUAGCAAUGAGAGUUUGAAAAACUAGAAAAAUAUGGCUGCUCUAGGCUAACAGCUGGUUCCCAUAGUACCAUGGCUUAGGUCAGACAAAGGGCACAUAUGAAAAACAGCUAAUGUUCAAGGGUAUCCCUACAGCAAGCAAAGGGGACACAACUUCCACCUAAACAUAGCAGAAAAGCAGUUACACCAAGUAGAGUGAGGAUACCAAAAAAAAAACAACCCCAAAACAUUUGAAAAUACAAUCACUGAAUGAGACCCUGAUAAAUAUAGGUUUUCUAGGCAAGCAGAAUGAAGUAAUCCGUAUGCAGAAGGGGUUUGUUCAAAACUCAAUAUUACCUUAAGGGCAGAUUUUCCAAGGCACAAAUGACAGACAUCUAAUAUUCCACAGACUUUCAAUGGCAUUUAGGUGCCUAACUGCUACCUGUGCCUUGGAAAAUCUCCUAAGUAUUGUGGGCAUCUUUAAACCAAAUUUACAAAACAUACUUCCAUUAAAAAGCAAAUUUUUUUUUGCUAGAUUAAUUGAAUACCAUAGAAUUUAUGGAAACCCUCGUAUUGCACUUCUCAAUAGGGAGGAUUGUGAAAAAUGUGCCUUUAUAUUCAUCUGAGGAGCUGAACAGUAUCUUAUUGCAGUUAGACUGAAACAGGGAGUUUUAGUAGCUUCUCUCUCAACUUCCCUGGGCAAGGCUCUCCUUUCUGUAGAGAGCUCUUCCGAAUCUUGCUUUGCCUUGAAUUCCCUUUGGAUUGAGCUUUUCUAACGGUUCAACAAUGUACCCAAUAAAAAGUCCCUCAGUCACACUGCGUGGUCUAGUUGUCUUUUCAUGUAACCACCAGCCUUUGCUUCUCAUUCUGAACAGUACUGAUUUUAACAGAAUGGGAUUUGUAUGUACCCCAUCUUUUGUUGGUGUUCCG